UGGAGACCAAAGUUAAAAGAUUCCAUUGGGCAUUCCAGAAUACAUCUUAUUAUGUCCUACAAGAAUUCCCUUUCAGCAAAAUAUCUCUUGCUGAAGAUCAAGUGUGUGUGCUGCCGAAGUGAACACAGCAAGACCUUCGCUUCAGCGCAGGGUCUGGCACAGAAUGGGCCAUCGGAGCUCCCUUUGGUGAUCUUUCCUCUGGGUGAAAGAGUUGACAGCAAAGAAAGUCCUCAGUUCUGACACGUUUACCAGCUCACUCUUGUCUCUGAGCCUGCGGUUUGCCUGACACACUGAACAAGUCCACAAGGCUUCAGAGAAUCUGAGAUAUUCCUGGGAAAAGGCCUCCUGAUUACUCUACAAAUCCUUUUGGAUUCUUGUUCUUAGAACGAUUGCACAAUUAGCUGUCAGAGAGACAGGGAUAACCUCCCAGUAAGGGUACUCGGCACUUCCUGGAGAAGCCCCAGAUGUGACCAUCUGACUUUCCAUGUCCUGGUCCAGUCCAGGAGAGACCACCGGUGUGUGUGACCACUGCUCAGGAAGACUCUGGCAGAUGCAGCUACCAAAGAUUCUAAAUCCCAGGUCUCUACAAUGUUAAGUAUCAGCUCAAGCCAAGCGUAUCUCAUGUUGCAACUUCCCUCCACAGUCCUUGGGGGUGCCAUCGUUAAGCAUGUCUAAGUGUGAUGUAUCUAAGUGUCUCACGUUAGUCGAGGCAACUGAAUAGAAGUGGUAUACUUGCCUUCAUCAGGCCCAGCUCUUUUGCAAAGUAAAUAGUGUUAUUAGUCCUGAUUUCCUAGAAAUGGCAAAGCAGUAGUUUAUCAUCAGCCUAGGACUAUGAAGACUGUGCACAGAGUCUUGGCAUUUAUUCUAAUGGGUGUUGUACCAUCAACAGGUUGCUGAGAGAAGCCCUGGAGAACAGCAUACAGUAUCUAUUUCAUUGGAGAACAGACCCAACACUGUUUGCAAGAACUCUGCGGAAGCGUGGAAAGCCUGGAUUUCAGCAAUUUGUGCUUGGUGCCGCAGCUUCAGUCACUUAAAGGUGUUUUGCAACCUGUGUUUUGGCAAAGUGUAUCUUCCGACUUUAUUCAAAGUCCCAGAGAAAAAAUGUAUUCUAACCAAGCAAUAAAAAAAAGAGCAGAAAACAUCUUUCCUAGUAAACACUGAAUGAACAGACCAGCAUUUGUGAGGAACCCAUUAACUCACGGCUCAUCCAGAAAGUGUGUAUGAGAACACCAGUUUUUCUAAUGAUUACUCAUUUUUGAAUGGAGCGAGCUCUCUGCUGAAGAAUAGUAUCAGGAGGAGUGUUCUUGAGUUGGAGAUACAAAUGCACCUGCAUCCCGGGAUAGUAACUCUAUAAAGAUUGAGAUGUUUCUCCUCUUCACUGCUCUGUCACCAACAGAGAGCAGUGGUUCUGGCACAAAGAAGUUCUCAAUAAAUAUGUUUUGAAUGAAUAAAUGGACAACUCUACAACUCAGAGCAGGGAAACUAGCAAACCGUGGAAGACCCACAGAGGCCACCAGCACAAGGUGAUCUUCAGUAACCAACAUGCUCUGAUGAUGAUGACUGUAGCAGACACUGGAGCUUAGCUGACGGUUUCCAUCCCCCCUUUCAACAGUACCCUAAUUUGGGCCAGGACCUGUGCAAACACUGGCAUUGGGUUGGAUUCUCCUCACUUCUGUCUGGGAGCAGGACAGAGGACUAGAGAGGCUAACCAAUGGAGAAGAGCACUUUGUCCACUGGAGACCUGGUGGGCUCCCUGCUGCUCUGGGCUUACCGCAAAUGGCACUGCAAAAAGGCCGGGACAGAGGCUCCUGGACACAGGUCAGAAAUCUCUGCCAUAGAAAGCAGUGGGUGGAGAACUGAGACUGGACUUGGGCCUCAUAUUUCUUAUCAAACAAAACACACAAGGAAUCAGAACUUACAAAACCCUCCCUAUCUCUCCUUAUCUGUG
ensembl:lncRNA